rnacentral:rRNA from 1 species
AUCAGGUAGGAAUACCCGCUGAACUUAAGCAUAUCAAUAAGCGGAGGAAAAGAAACUAACAAGGAUUCCCCUAGUAACUGCGAGUGAAGAGGGAAAAGCUCAAAUUUAAAAUCUGGUAGCUUUGCUGCCCGAGUUGUAAUUUAGAGAAGUGAUGCCCGCGCUGGACCGUGUAUAAGUCUCCUGGAAUGGUGCGUCAUAGAGGGUGAGAAUCCCGUCUUUGACACGGACUCCCAGUGCAUUGUGGUACGCUCUCAAAGAGUCGUGUUGUUUGGGAAUGCAGCACUAAAUGGGUGGUAAAUUCCAUCUAAAGCUAAAUAUUGGUGGGAGACCGAUAGCGUACAAGUACCGUGAGGGAAAGAUGAAAAGAACUUUGGAAAGAGAGUGAAACAGUACGUGAAAUUGUUGAAAGGGAAACGCUUGAAGUCAGUCGCGUCGU